rnacentral:rRNA from 1 species
CACGUAGGGGGCGAGCGUUGUCCGGAUUUAUUGGGCGUAAAGAGCGUGUAGGCGGCCAGACAGGUCCGUUGUGAAAACUCGAGGCUCAACCUCGAGACGCCGAUGGAAACCGUCUGGCUAGAGUCCGGAAGAGGAGAGUGGAAUUCCCGGUGUAGCGGUGAAAUGCGCAGAUAUCGGGAAGAACACCCGUGGCUAAGGCGGCUCUCUAGUACGGUACUGACGCUGAGACGCGAAAGCGUGGGGAGCGAACAGG